rnacentral:rRNA from 1 species
UACGUAGGGGGCAAGCGUUGUCCGGAUUUAUUGGGCGUAAAGAGCGUGUAGGCGGCCGUACAGGUCAGCUGUGAAAACUCGAGGCUCAACCUCGAGACGUCGGUUGAAACCGUACGGCUAGAGUCCGGAAGAGGAGAGUGGAAUUCCCGGUGUAGCGGUGAAAUGCGCAGAUAUCGGGAAGAACACCCGUGGCGAAGGCGAGUCUCUGGACAUUUCCUGACGCUGAGGCACGAAAGCCAGGGGAGCAAACGGG